GAACAUCUUACGGAUGGCCCAGGGCUCCAAAGGCUCGUUUCCUAAGUGAGAGAGAGCCUGGCUGAAGCUGUAUUACCAUUCAUUCUCCAGCCUCCGAAGUCUCAAAGCAUCACUUCCACCAUACUCUAACUGUCAAGACAAACACAAAGGCCCAGAGAAGGGGUCUCACUAUGUUGUCUGGAGUGCUGUGGUGGAGUGGAGUGGCUAUUCACAGAGCCUGUUCUGCUGGGACACAGAAUCACUUGCUCCAUCUCAUACAUUGAUGAUGAUUAAUUUGUAUGUGUACCUUCCAAAAAAGAUGGUUGUGUUUGAAUGGAGGCCUUCUGGACAGGAAAAUAUGGAGAGUGCGUGCUUUGGAUUCAAGACUGGGAAUGAGGGGACCAGAAACCUAUUCUGUGGCUGUUUCUUGUUAGGACUUUCCUAAGCCUCUGGAAAAGACUAAUCUUUCCAAGUUCAUCUGAGGCUCCUCUUCUCCAUGACAACCUCAUCCAGGGAUUUCUUCCUGUCCUGGUGUUUUAUGACAUAAUCACAUCCUUCCUGAGAUAAUGAGCACACAAUUGCCUGGAUACCUGAAGGAAUGGAGACAGCGGCAGAAAACACUGCAGAGAGGUGGAAACAUCCGUUAAUAUUUUAAAAUCCCAUUACUGCUACCAACAAUAAUAAUGGAUGCAUAGAAAUAGAUCUGGAUUAGCUGAGCUUGAAACAGUCCAUCUCACACACACACAAAAGAAUUUCAGAUACAGUGAACCCACAUGUUGAAGCUUUCUAGUAUAAUAAAAAUUUCAACUGUUCUGUUGAAUCAUCUGCCUGAUUGGAGGCUACAGAAAAGAUGUCAUCUUAGGAGUGCUUGCUCUGAGUGAGGCUCAUCUUCAAAUCUGAAUGACCACAAGGAGAUUUGAUUAUACAUGUGAACACCUCAGAAGGCACAGCCCACCCAGAAGGCAGACAGGUCAGGCUGCUUUUUCUUCAUUGCUUGGAUUCAAUCCUCCGGGCGGCUCAGGCUCAAACAUAACUUAAGCAUGAUUAAACUUUAGAAGAAGCUGCCAGGAAGACUGUGAAAUCUUCAUGCCCAAGGAUCCCUAAAAUUAGGAGCAACAACCACUUGGCUCAGACGGUUUAUGGAGGCAAAGGUUUGGAUGGGAUUAGAGAUUUCUAAAUGUGAGUUCGUGUCCUCUGCCAGACCACCUUACUUCCACCAUUCCUCAGCAAAUCAAGAAAAACAGGAGAAAAGACAUGCCUUUCCAUAAGUUAAAUCUAUUCUGUUUUAAUUCUAUAUUAUAUCUGCUGUACAACUUCUUUUGUUUGUAACACCAUAUUGUUGCUAGUAACUGGAAAUUAAUUUUCACAUGCCUCAGCUUAGAAAAAUAAAAAGCAGCCCUGCAUCAAUCCCAA
rnacentral:lncRNA from 1 species